UAGGGAAUCUUCCGCAAUGGACGCAAGUCUGACGGAGCAACGCCGCGUGAGUGAAGAAGGAUUUCGGUUCGUAAAACUCUGUUGUUAGAGAAGAACAGCGCAUAGAGUAACUGUUAUGCGUGUGACGGUAUCUAACCAGAAAGCCACGGCUAACUACGUGCCAGCAGCCGCGGUAAUACGUAGGUGGCAAGCGUUGUCCGGAUUUAUUGGGCGUAAAGCGAGCGCAGGCGGUCAAUUAAGUCUGAUGUGAAAGCCCCCGGCUCAACCGGGGAGGGUCAAUGGAAACUGGUUGACUUGAGUGCAGAAGAGGAGAGUGGAAUUCCAUGUGUAGCGGUGAAAUGCGUAGAUAUAUGGAGGAACACCGGUGGCGAAAGCGGCUCUCUGGUCUGUAACUGACGCUGAGGCUCGAAAGCGUGGGGAGCGAACAGG
rnacentral:rRNA from 1 species